rnacentral:rRNA from 1 species
GAUGAACGCUAGCGGCAGGCUUAAUACAUGCAAGUCGAGGGGCAGCAUGAUUGUAGCAAUACAAUUGAUGGCGACCGGCAAACGGGUGCGGAACACGUACACAACCUCCCAAUAAGUGGGGAAUAGCCCAGAGAAAUUUGGAUUAAUACCCCGUAACAUAACGAUGUGGCAUCACAUUGUUAUUAUAGAUUUUUCGCUUAUUGAUGGGUGUGCGGCUGAUUAGAUAGUUGGCGGGGUAACGGCCCACCAAGUCUACGAUCAGUAGCUGAUGUGAGAGCAUGAUCAGCCACACGGGCAAAGAGACACGGGCCCGACUCCUACGGGAGGCAGCAGUAAGGAAUAUUGGACAAUGGACGCAAGUCGGAUCCAGCCAUGCCGCGUGAAGGAUUAAGGUCCUCUGGAUUGUAAACUUCUUUUAUAAGGGACGAAAAAAGGCUUUUCUAAGUCGUCUGACGGUACCUUAUGAAUAAGCACCGGCUAACUCCGUGCCAGCCGCCGCCUGUAACAC